AGAGUUUGAUUAUGGCUCAGAACGAACGCUGGCGGCGUGCCUAACACAUGCAAGUCGAGCGCGAAAGUCCCUUCGGGGGCGAGUAGAGCGGCGGACGGGUGAGUAAUACAUAGGUAAUCUACCCCCGAGAUCGGGAUAACCCUGCGAAAGUGGGGCUAAUACCGGAUAAGACCACGUGGCCCAGGCCAUGUGGUAAAAGAUGGCUUUUUCUUUCGAGUUAGAGCUAUCACUUGAGGACGAGCCUAUGGCCUAUCAGCUAGUUGGCGAGGUAAAAGCUCACCAAGGCUAUGACGGGUAGCUGGUCUGAGAGGACGACCAGCCACACUGGGACUGAGACACGGCCCAGACUCCUACGGGAGGCAGCAGUGGGGAAUAUUGGGCAAUGGGCGAAAGCCUGACCCAGCGACGCCGUGUGGGUGAUGAAGGCCUUCGGGUUGUAAAGCCCUGUCGGAUGGGAAGAAGGGUCCAGAGGUAAAUAAUCUCUGGAUCUUGACGGUACCAUCGGAGGAAGCACCGGCUAACUCCGUGCCAGCAGCCGCGGUAAUACGGAGGGUGCAAGCGUUGUUCGGAAUUACUGGGCGUAAAGGGCGCGUAGGUGGUUCUGUAAGUCAGAUGUGNNNUNCUUCGGCUCAACCGGAGAACUGCAUCUGAUACUGCAGUGACUUGAGUACAG
rnacentral:rRNA from 1 species